GUUUCGAUCUGAGUGGGGCUUAUAAAAUGGAUAUGCGUGUCAAUUCCUCCUGCAGUGAGUAUCAGUCCCUCUCCGGCUAUUACUUCGGUCCCGGAACCGACGAUAAGCGAGUCGGUGACUCCGUCCAUUAUGUCCGGAUUGCCUGCCUUACCUAUACCGCAGAUACGACCGUUUUUUAUUCCGACGUCGGCUUUUAUGAUCCCGGUAUAGUCUAUUAUUACGGCAUUUGUUAUUACAGUGUCGGGACAGUCGCUGUCGGAUACGCCGCAAGCCUGUCCCAUGCCGUCGCGC
rnacentral:sRNA from 1 species